ACUACCCUUUGAGAAAUCUCUGUGAUAGGAAUGACAUGGGGCCAAUACCAUUUAAAGAGUAUUUCAGAAUGCAUAGGAAAAAGAGUAGAGGAGAUUCGUUGCUGAUAAAUGGGAUGAUGCAUGUGAACACAUGGGAUAACACAGGUGACUCUAGCCAUGAUGUUGCUCCUUUUGCUUUAUGCUUUCUGGAAUACACCUUAAAAGGUCUUGGACCAUUUAAUUCCUAUCACUAAGCUCACCUAACUAAUCCUCAGCCCAUUUCUGUCCUUUAUCAUGCUGUUGUUGCUGCUCAAUUCCAGCUUCUGCAUAUACUUUUUUUUCUUGUUGCUCAAUUCCAG
rnacentral:misc_RNA from 1 species